UACAGAGGUCUCAAGCGUUGUUCGGAUUCAUUGGGCGUAAAGGGUGCGUAGGCGGCGCGGUAAGUCGGGUGUGAAAUCUCGGAGCUUAACUCCGAAACUGCAUUCGAUACUGCCGUGCUUGAGGACUGGAGAGGAGACUGGAAUUUACGGUGUAGCGGUGAAAUGCGUAGAGAUCGUAAGGAAGACCAGUGGCGAAGGCGGGUCUCUGGACAGUUCCUGACGCUGAGGCACGAAGGUCAGGGGAGCAAACGGG
rnacentral:rRNA from 1 species